GGUUAAGCGAAUAAGCGUACACGGUGGAUGCCUAGGCAAUCAGAGGCGAUGAAGGACGUGCUAAUCUGCGAUAAGCGUCGGUAAGGUGAUAUGAACCGUUAUAACCGACGAUUUCCGAAUGGGGAAACCCAAUAUCCAAUGGAUAUUAUCAUGACGUGAAUACAUAGCGUCAUGAAGCGAACCGGGAGAACUGAAACAUCUCAGUACCCCGAGGAAAAGAAAUCAACCGAGAUUCCCCUAGUAGCGGCGAGCGAACGGGGAACAGCCCAGAGUCUUAAUCAAUAGCAGCAUCAGGAGAACGGUCUGGAAAGUCCGGCAGUAAAGGGUGAUAGCCCCGUAUCUGAAGAUGCUGUUAUUGUGAACUCGACGAGUAGGGCGGGACACGUGUUAUCCUGUCUGAAUAUGGGGGGACCAUCCUCCAAGGCUAAAUACUCCUGAUUGACCGAUAGUGAACCAGUACCGUGAGGGAAAGGCGAAAAGAACCCCGGCGAGGGGAGUGAAAAAGAACCUGAAACCGUGUACGUACAAGCAGUAGGAGCCUCUUUUAUGGGGUGACUGCGUACCUUUUGUAUAAUGGGUCAGCGACUUAUAUUCUGUAGCAAGGUUAACCGUAUAGGGGAGCCGUAGGGAAACCGAGUCUUAACUGGGCGAAUGAGUUGCAGGGUAUAGACCCGAAACCCGGUGAUCUAUCCAUGGGCAGGUUGAAGGUUGGGUAACACUAACUGGAGGACCGAACCGACUAAUGUUGAAAAAUUAGCGGAUGACUUGUGGAUGGGGGUGAAAGGCCAAUCAAACCGGGAGAUAGCUGGUUCUCCCCGAAAGCUAUUUAGGUAGCGCCUCGUGAACUCAUCUUCGGGGGUAGAGCACUGUUUCGACUAGGGGGUCAUCCCGACUUACCAACUCGAUGCAAACUGCGAAUACCGAAGAAUGUUAUCACGGGAGACACACGGCGGGUGCUAACGUCCGUCGUGAAGAGGGAAACAACCCAGACCGCCAGCUAAGGUCCCAAAGUCAUGGUUAAGUGGGAAACGAAGUGGGAAGGCUCAGACAGCCAGGAUGUUGGCUUAGAAGCAGCCAUCAUUUAAAGAAAGCGUAAUAGCUCACUGGUCGAGUCGGCCCGCGCGGAAGAUGUAACGGGGCUAAACCAUGCACCGAAGCUGCGGCAGCGAC
rnacentral:rRNA from 1 species